UAACAGUGUCAUUAAAGCUGCUUUGCCGCGAUAAAUUUCUCCACAAUUUCUUCAGGUGUUUAGUUUUAUUGACUGCUGCAAACGGGUCCGCAUUAAUUUUUUUAAAGAUUGCAUUAUUUUGGCAUACCAAGUAACCCACCAGUAGGCUGUUAGGUCGGUGAGCCUAGAAUAAAUAGACUGAGUUCUAUAUCUUGACGUCCAGUUAUCCCAAACGAUCAUCACAUCAUCCCUUAAAUUCAUAGGCUGGAUACCCUAGAUCCAUAGGAUAUAUAUCCUCUUUUGUUUUUAUUUUUAUUAUUAUUUAUUAUUAUUUUUUUUAUUUUUGUUUCAUUUCGAUUAAGGUGUACUACCUCACUUAUGUAGCUUAGAUCCAUAGGAUAUAUUUUUUCUCAAAAAAAAAAGAUAAGAGUUUUCCUUCUUUUUUUUUGGCUAAAUUACAAAAAAAAAAACUUCUGUAAAUAUGUGUUUUUUCAUUUUUUUUCUUUCUGACUUUCAAAAACCUAUAUUUGCCUCUUUAAAAUUUCAAAAAUGCUACCGACCGUCCCUAGCGUAAGUGGCAAAAGAUUUGAUGGUUGGUACCUAAGGUCUCAAGUUCGAAUGCUAGUUGAUUCAUAUUUUCAGCAAAGUUUAUUUCUUAAAGAAAUAAAUGAAAUGAGCAGUAUGCUAUCUUAAAAAAUUAUCCUUACUUUCUUUUUUAUAAGAAAAAAAAUUUUUUAAUAAAUUUUUGUCGUUUUGAAAGCAUUUUUAGUAUAAAUAUAUAAUAAGAAAUGGACAGAAUAGUGAUGAAAUCCUAACGGAGGGGGUCUAAAUGCAACAUUUCAUGCAAUUUUAGAAGUUAGGAAGAAAAAGCAAAAAGUAAAUAUUUAUAAG
rnacentral:lncRNA from 1 species